AUUGAACGCUGGCGGCAGGCCUAACACAUGCAAGUCGAGCGGAUGAAGGGAGCUUGCUCCUGGAUUCAGCGGCGGACGGGUGAGUAAUGCCUAGGAAUCUGCCUGGUAGUGGGGGAUAACGUCCGGAAACGGGCGCUAAUACCGCAUACGUCCUGAGGGAGAAAGUGGGGGAUCUUCGGACCUCAUGCUAUCAGAUGAGCCUAGGUCGGAUUAGCUAGUUGGUGGGGUAAAGGCCUACCAAGGCGACGAUCCGUAACUGGUCUGAGAGGAUGAUCAGUCACACUGGAACUGAGACACGGUCCAGACUCCUACGGGAGACAGCAGUGGGGAAUAUUGGACAAUGGGCGAAAGCCUGAUCCAGCCAUGCCGCGUGUGUGAAGAAGGUCUUCGGAUUGUAAAGCACUUUAAGUUGGGAGGAAGGGCAGUAAGUUAAUACCUUGCUGUUUUGACGUUACCAACAGAAUAAGCACCGGCUAACUUCGUG
rnacentral:rRNA from 1 species